AAGCCAGCCGGAUUUGUGGAACAUGUUACGCAUUAACCCCGAACGCUCUCUCCAAAGCUCCCCAAAUCAAAGAUGACGCAACAAGGGAUACUAAAAAAAGGGAUUUAAAGGGGCAAAUAUAAGACUGCAAAGGGCCUCUGUAGUCCAUGCCAGUGACACCCCCUACUCCCAUCCAUCCCAGUAGAUUUAAUUUGGACCGGGCUCAAAAACGGAGGGCGCCUCGUGCAUUUGUUUACAUUGGAUAGGCAGGCUCAGGGGCAGAACCACGGGGCCCACUAUUCAUUAAUAUACAUUGAGGAUUUCAGUCCAAAUUACUGAUGUUCUGUGCACACGGAGCCUUUUAAGUGCGUCUAGGGCAGCCACCAAGAACGUGCCACCACAUACAAAAUACAACUCAGCGCAUACACAAAAACACAGCAGUCAAAAGGCCACUAUCUGAUAUAUGAUGUGUUUAUUUAUUUGUUUAAUAUAAAAGGCCCCCAAGUUCCCUGCUGGGGGACUCGGUUUUAUCAUGCAAAAAGAAAAAAAAAGAAAGGCAGGAGAGAGGGGGAAAAAUCAACCCCAAGUAUAACAAGAGACGAACAGUUAGUGCUGAUUUUCAUUUGCAUAAAUUUUCAUAUAUUUUAGCGAAAAUAAUAGCGGGAGCAGAGGAGAGCUGGUGCUCAGUUGAGGCAGGGGAAAGAAAAUCUUCAGGAGCAGCAGCCAGUCGCAGAGAAAGGAGAUAAGCAUUUCACAAGUCGACAAUCUUGGUGCACUUUCCUGGACAUGAGAUGAGGAGAGCACCCCAGCAACCGCCCUCCUCACUACAAACACACACGGCGCGUGCGUGCACACACACACACACACGCACACACGCACACACGCACACACACAAAAACUUUGCUCAUCCCUCCCCUCUCCAACACUGAGCGACUUCUGCAGGUAAGGGUCCAAGCGUGUGUGUGUGUGUGUGUGUGUGUGUGUGUGUGUGUGUGUGUGUGCACGCACACGGGCGAGCGCAUGCCAUCUCCCCUCAGCCUCAAGUGAAAGCGGACGCAGCGUCUCCCCGGCAUCCGCUUCCCUCUGCACGUCGACUGCUGGAGUAUUCACGCUUCGGGCUGUUUUCUUUGAGAGAGAGUAUAAAAAUAUGCAAAUGCUAUUGUUGGAGCGCAAAGAUAGGAGGAGGAAAGAUUGUGGUGGUGGGGCUCUUUUACACUCUGUCACCUCCCUGCCACCUCCUCCAUCUCGGAUGGAAUGAAAGAGAGAGAGAGAUGGAGUCACGUGCACUGUCAUAGGGAAAAGAUACGUGCUUUCGUGAACCCAAAACAUGUAUACACACACACACACACACACACACACACACACACACACACACACACACACACACACACACACACACACACACACACACACAUGCACGCACACAAAAUAUAAUUCAUAUGAAACAAAUUAAAGCCAGACUUACAAAGCGAGAGUAAAGAACAAUUCAUCAUUAACUGUAUGUCUAUUUAGGUGACAAUUAAUAAAUCAAAUUAAUCAAUUAAUCUUCAUUUAACAACAGGAAGUUGCUAUACUGCAGGGGCUGAUUGGGAAAGGUUACACAAAUGACGAUGAUAAAUCAUGGUUUGGUUUAAACAUGUGAGUAAGAGCUUUAAUUUGAACCACACAAGCCUACACAAAUACAAAUACUCAGUAAUAACAGUUGACAAUUGCUGUCAUAAAUAAAGUCAGGAGAUUCCGACAGGUUAAUUGGCCAGUUAAUUCAUAGUCGCUAUUUUAAAACUAGAAAAAUCUUACCUUUUAAAAAAAACAAAUAUAGGCUACAUUAACAUAAAAGAAAGGAUAACGAGAAAGGAAAAUUACCCCCCUCAAAAAUCAAGAAAAUGCUCAAUAGAUUUCCUAUGAUUUUCUGAUUCUGAUUCUCUGAUGUAAAAUUGAAUGCAGCCAGUCACUAAAUACGUUGUGAGGAAUUACAGUGGGUUGUUGAACCACACUGUUUUUUUAAGUAAAUCCACAAGACCAUGACGUGUAAAAAGUCAGAAUCAUCAGAAAAAGGGCAUUUUUAUUUACUGGACAGUGACAAUAUGUGCAGUAUAUAUGGAAAAUAAAGUAAUGAAAAUACAAAUACUGAGGCCCUUGACUUAUGGGUUGAAUUCAUUUUGUGACCAUGUCUGUAAUUCAAAUCAACCUUCUCCAUUGAAAUGAAGUGAAAUGCCAUUAAUGUGUUUGAGCUGCUUGACCUUGUAGCAUAAUUCUAUGUUUAGCUGAGUUUCACAGUAAAUUUUCAACUGGCAUCUGCAACAAAUCUCUUGAAGUGAGCAUACUUGACAUCUUUUCAGAAUAACUGUUUGCUAUUUGUGAAACUGCACACGGCUUGCUCAGGGCAGAAUAGACCUCAUGGUUAUAAAAAAAGCCCAAGUCAAAUGUCUGCGCACACUAUAAACCAACAACAACAUAAACAACAAAAACCGUGACAUCUUGCAAUUCCCCAAAUUUGGGCAUACGAAAGUCAAGGUAAAACUGCAGGUGUCUCCGUCCCACGAGCGAGUCAACAAACAGAAAUGUAGAAAUGCGCCACCAUGGUAAUGGAACAGAAAUACACACUGAUACACCCCGUGUUAAAGUGAAGCUCUCAGCAAGACUUUUAGAAGUGAUUACGGAGAUGGUUCAGAUCAAAGGAUUUGACAAGUGUGCGCCAAAUAUGAGACAGCUAAUCACACUGGAGCCCCUCUAUACAAGAUGGCAGCACACACUGACACGUUUCCAGUCGCUCCAACCCCACAGCUUCUUUGCAAAUGUAAUGCGACGCUAACGGAUAAACAGAUUAUGAAGGAAUGGAAUGGUGGCUUUAGGUGACGGGGACCAAAGUGGAUAAAAUAGAGGUAAAAAAAAAAAAAUCAACAACUUUUAUUUAUGUUUGGUUUAUUUAAUGAAGUGUGGGGGUGAGCAGUGUGGGAGAAAUUAAUUACCAGUUGCCAAUGCAGGUUUAAACGAUAUCAUUAGAGAACAUUAGCGGCAAUGUGAGAUGAUGAGGAAGUAUCACUUUUGCAGGGUUUCUCUCUUCCUUCACUAGUCAUUAUAGAUUAAUCCAUAAUCCCCACCACCUAAAGACAUUUUUCUCAGCGUAGCUUAGGGAUAGAGAUAAAGUUUUUUCUUUUUUCUCUCUUUUUUAAAUGUAUUUUUUUACUCACUUGUGCACCCAUGUUGUCACGUCACAAAACUCUCCUCACCUUCUUGUCAACAACAUUAAAAAUAGAUGGCCAGACACUAAUAAUGCUGAGUGCGAAUAAAAACACAUCUUUAUGUUUUUUUCCUGUACUGCAUACAGUAGGCUAUUUGAACUUUGAAUAAAAUGUAUGUGCCUUUUGAUGCGUCAAUGAAUAUGUUUUCAAUAAAGUCAGAGCAAUA